AUGAGCUCCUCAGAGAAGGUGGCCACCGGCGAGAAGACGUCGUGGCCGGAGGUGGUGGGGCUGAGCGUGGAGGAGGCCAAGAAGAUCAUCCUCAAGGACAAGCCCGAAGCCGACAUCGUCGUCCUCCCUGUCGGCACCAUGGUCACCAUGGAACACAAUCCCCAGCGCGUCCGCAUCUUCGUCGACACCGUCGACGAGACCCCCUACGCUGGCUAG
rnacentral:rRNA from 1 species